UGGGUGCGGGCGUGUGAGUGUGUGUGUGUGAGUGUGUGUCGCUCCGGGUCCACGCUCAUGCACACACCCACACGCCCGCA
ensembl:miRNA